rnacentral:rRNA from 1 species
CCGCGAGUCAUUGGGUGACAAAAACCUAAAGGCGAAAUGAAAGUUAAAAGAAAUUUUAUUUUCUGAGGGAAGAUGGGCGUUAUUCCGACUUCCGGAAGCGUCCCGCAUUCCCGGGGCGUCUCCUUCUCAUUGCGAGUAGAGGCGCACCUAGAGCGCACACGUUGGGACCCGAAAGAUGGUGAACUAUGCCUGGUCAGGACGAAGCCAGGGGAAACCCUGGUGGAGGUCCGCAGCGAUUCUGACGUGCAAAUCGAUCGUCAGAGCUGGGUAUAGGGGCGAAAGACUAAUCGAACCAUCUAGUAGCUGGUUCCCUCCGAAGUUUCCCUCAGGAUAGCUAGCGCCCAUGUGAAAAGAGUCUCACCUGGUAGAGCGAAUGAUUAGAGGCCUUGGGGUCGAAACGAUCUCAACCUAUUCUCAAACUCCCAACAGGUGAGAACCCCGGCUUGCUUAAAAGUGAAGCCGGGGCUCUUUGAUCAGGGUGCCAAGUGGGCCAAUUUUGGUAAGCAGAACUGGCGCUGUGGGAUGAACCAAACGCCGAGUUAAGGCGCCCGAAUCGACGCUCAUGUGAAACCAUGAAAGGCGUUGGUUGCUUAUGACAGCAGG